CGCCUUUUUCAAAACAUCCAAACCAAGUUCUUCCAAUUCCUUUACUGAUCCAUAGUCGUCCAAAUUUAAAGGAAACGUUACCUUGACAAAACAAAUGACGUGCUGUAAAUGGCUUUGGUCAUUGAAGGACUAGAUGUCGAGGAAUCACUGACUUCAUCAUCACUGCUCAAUUCUUCAUCAAUAUCUAGCCUAUGAAACAACGACCGAUCGACCAUUAAUGUUUUUCAGAGUUUUUCGUUAUGAAGUGAAAUUUUAAGCAAUAAAAAAGACAUUUGUAUUAUACAUAAGAAUAACGGUAAGACAACAGGGAAAGUGUUGAAUUUGUGUAACUGGUAGAAAUUGUUUGUAUAUGUUGAAGGUUUGUUUUGCUAAACGGGAAAACGUUCAAUUCAAAUUCAAA